CGGCAGUUGUGAGAGAGUUCCUGCUUGUUGCUGGCCGGACUGAUUUUGUUGAGGCGCCGCUCGCUCCAUCUCUGCGCCCAAGCAGCGAGGAAAGGAGACCCUGCCGAGUCUUUCCCUAUUGAAACAACAGAUGCUGGCUUCCAGUUCCUUUCUCCCUCUGCCACAGCCGCGCUAAAACUCUGUCGUCGCCUCUGGCUUCUGGAAGCCUUGGGUUAUGAGCAUGUUCGCCAAAGCCUUUAGGGUGAAAUCCAACACGGCGAUCAAAGGCUCUGACAGGAGGAAACUGCGAAGUGAUGUUGCUACAACAUUUCCUGCCCUCACUUCUGAACAGUUAUCUGAGAUUGUGCCAAAUAAGGAAGAACUGAAUGUUGUUAAACUGUAUGUUCACAAAGGAGAUGCUGUCACAGUCUACACCAAUGGCAAGAAUCCCGUUCUUUUUGAAAUGGAGAAGAUAAUGUAUCCCACAGUGUACACUCUGUGGUUGUAUCCUCACUUUCUCCCUGCCUUUUCCACAUGGCCUCCUGUGUUGCCUAAACUAAUUGGAGGAGCAGAUCUAAUGCUCCCAGGAGUUAUAGUGCCGUCUUGCGGUCUUCCUGAGGUACAGCGUGGGACUCUCUGCGCCAUUACCUUGUCGGGAAACAGUUCCCCUGUUGCCAUUGGAAUAGCUAACAUGUCCACUGCAGAGAUGGUGGCAGCUGGAAUGAAAGGAAAAGGCUUCACGGUGCUUCAUACUUACAUGGAUCACUUAUGGGGGUUUGGUGACAAGUCAUGCCCACCCAUCAUAACUCCCUUAGAAGGAGAACCUUCCAAGGUGAUGGGUUCUGAAGAAGAGGAACAAGAGAAUGAAGAAGGGAAGGUCCAAGAGCUGGAAAACAGCUUCUCUGUUGACUCCUCCUUGCAGAGAGGCUUUGGAAAUCUAAUUGUGGAGGAAACUACUCAGUCUGCUGAACAAGGGAGAGAGGAGGUAUCAAAUGAAGAUGGAGCUGCUGAAACUGUCAGAGAAGAAAGCCUAGAAGUUUCUCAAGAAAUAGAAGAUACGAGUCCACAAGAACGAAUGGAUGUGUUGCUUCAUCAAUGUUUUUUUCAUGCCUUAAAAUGCAAAGUGAAGAAAUCAGAGCUCCCUCUGCUGACCAGCACCUUUCUGCGCAACUAUAUGUUUUCAUGCUGUCCAAAAGGUCAGCAACUUGACAUUAAGAAAUCCAGCUAUAAAAAGUUCUCCAAGUUCCUGCAGUCGAUGCAGCAACAGAAGAUCCUUCAGGUGAAAGAACUAAGUAAGGGAGUGGAGAGCAUUGUGGAUGUCGACUGGAAACAUAUCAGCAUUAGAUCCUUUGUAGUACCUGAAACAGAAGAAUCUGAAUUGCCUGCCCAAGAUGGUCGAAGUUGUGAUGGAGAACAGCCGUACCAUGCUCCUGAAAUCACGCCACUCUAUGGCAUCUCAUCAAAAAUGGCUCCUUUGUUCCAGGAAUCUGGAUAUAAGAAAAGCGACAUCCUCACCAGCAGUGAAGUGAGAAGUGCUGUCAUCAAUUAUGUGAAAAUUAAUGAAUUGGUUGAUGAAACCAACAAAAACUUUGUAAAGGUGAAUCCGAUCCUAUGUGACUGCCUGUUGAACAAAUCGGAGCAAGAUGAAAUAUUAAAGUUCAAAUGGGAUGAUCUCUUGAGUAGGUGUCUGGAUCAACUACAGCGCUUCCAUCAGGUGACCUUUGCUGGACAUGAACCUAUUGUGAGAAAAGGAUACAUAGACCCCAUUGAAAUUACCAUAGGCCAGAGAUCAUCCAAUAAAAAGGUAACAAUAAUUAAGAAUCUUGAGCUGUAUGGUCUAGACCCACAAAUUGUUGCUAAUAUUCUCCAGCAAAAAGUCCAAGCUAGUGCCACUGUAACCCCACUCCCAGGUGCAAAAGACAGAGCACAAGUCCAGAUACAAGGCAAUCAGAUCAACCACCUUGCUAAGCUGCUGUUAGAAGAUUACCAUCUACCUCGCAAAUACAUCCGAGGCCUAGAGAAGGCACCAAAGAUAGGCCGCAAGAAAUAAUGAGACCCCAAGAAGAUAUUCAAACUUCAUUAUUUAUAUGUAUUAUAUUCAACAAAUGAUAGCUGCCUACUGUGGCAUUCUAAAUUGGCAAAAUUAUUGACCUGUACAAGAAAUAUGGAGAACAUUUCUAAAUAAAGGAAUGGAGCGGCUUUAAACAACCUUGGAAGAUAACAGGCGACAGAUGGCACCACUGCUAGCAAACAAUCUGAAAAGCACACAGAGAAGAAUUGACCUUUUUUAGAAACCGAUCUGUCAUCUGAGAUGGGCAUCACUGCAACUCUGAAUCAUUCCACCUAAGUCCUCACUAUCUCAUAAGUAGCACACAGAGGAGCGAAAGAGAAAAGACACAUGGAGGAAACAUGGAAGUUCAUUAUUUCAGUUCAUAACUUGAUGGACAUCAAAGCAAUGCAGCCACUAACAUACAUCAAAAAUGUAUUUCUCUUGGCCUGCAAUCAAAGGAAGCUUGCCUCACAGAAACUGCUGUUUCCGUAAUGCCAGCAUCUGAGUUUUUAAAAGAUCUUUCAAAAUUAUAGCAAGGGGUACAUUUCUUAACAAUACAGUGUGUUUCUGUGGACAAAUAAAUAACUCUAAAGGACUGCACUGAUUGACAGUUGACUACUUGCACCCAGUGACCUUGUUCCGGGUUAUCUAAACUUUUAUUGGUCUAGCUCACACAAAAGAGCAGAUGAUGUGGCAAAAGUAGCAAAACACAUCCGGGGUAAUACUUCUUCAAAUUACAACUGGAAGAUUGCAUGUCUGAAUGCCCUUCCAUAUUCAAAUCAUCCUCCAAAAAGAAAGUUUGAUGUUCUUAUUGCAAUAUAGUGCUUGCCUAGCUUUUUUCCUUGGGGAAAGAAGAUAUAUAUGCAGGAUGAUUUUCCCUCACAGUGAUAUGAACUCCCCUCCCAACCUAGUAUAGUAUAGCCCAAGAAAGGUUUAUCAUUUCUUCAUCCUCUCCCUUUGCAAUUAGACCAUUUACAAUCGUUUUGUCUAGAUCUGGGAUCUUUUGUAAAUCAAAUGAUUUAGAAAAUCAUUUGUAAUCAUUCAAAAUCAUUCAAAAUCUCAAAACUCAAACAUCAUUCAGAAUGCAAAGUGUCUUCACACAUUCUUCCUACAAAAGAAACCCCAAGAUGCUAUAGAGAGCUACCCUAAUUUUGGAAUUAAUUUGACUUUGAUAUGGGCAGCGUCAUGCACUCUGCAGAGAGAGCAGGUGUUAAAAUGCACACACAUACACACAUGCUCCAUAUUUCAGGGGCAGAGUUAAGUGUUCUGCCUUCAGAAGGUUUAAUCAAUGGCAGUCUACUUCAAAAGGUUCUCAGAUAUGUCUGAUUCCUACCCUUAAUGGACCAACAGUGGGCUCAUGAUAUGCAUCACUACAUUCAUGUCACUAAUCAGGCAACAAGACAACCCUUUUUGCUGACCAAGGACCCAUGAGAUGAUAUAGGCAGUAGAGACGCCGACCCAGAAUAUUUCUAGCAUCCUUGCUGAUUGCCAGAGGCAGCAUAUUGUUCCCGGCAGAGCCAGAAAACACUAAUAUAGCCCUUAGCCAGAGAAAAGGACACACUGAUUUAAUAGGUGUGACAUAUAUUUUCCUUACCAUGUAAACAACUAAGUACUGGAUUUGCAGCUAAAGAAGGACUAUUACAAUUGCAUACUAAUUGUACUUAUUGGAAAACUGGAAGACUGUUGCUUGCUUUAUACAGGAGUGAGAUCUAUCCUGCUGCAAUUAGUUUUGACACUUUCAAACUAUCAGAACUCUAUGUGCUUUGUGCCUCACGAGAUAAAAGUGGGACACAGAUAUAAUAAUGAUGAUGAUAGGCGUGAUGACAAAAAAAAACAGCUUUAGAUAAUUUAAACAAAA